rnacentral:lncRNA from 1 species
AUGUUAGAAUGAAUUUUAUUGAUUGGUGGAUUAUAUAUUAAUUAUUUACUGCAGAGGGGGUUCCGUGGACCAGCCUAUUAGAGGAGCACGGUAAACUCCAUUAUAUUAUUACCUCGAACAGAGAGGCGCGUAGGGUUUCUCCUGGGGUAAAGCUUAGGGUUCACUUCACGCCAAACCACCACGUGAAGAGGAACUCAGCCAACACCAAGGAACGGCUGUAUUUUUCUCAAACUAAAAUAUAUUUUAAGUGUAUACAAAAUUUGAACAGCCUUGGCGGACUCGGUUAGAUGCCCUGCGCAAGGUAUCACCGAGUAUGAGUUUUGACACGAGCCAAAGUUUUAAGAAAUUCAUAAGUCAAGUUGAUUACUCGAUUUAUAUGGAUUGAUUUUAUUUGGUUGAAAUGAACUGAAAGGUAAUGAAAUUACAGUAUGAUGACUUAUUUUAAUUGUCUCCAUUUACUCGACUUUAGAUACUUUAGAUGGUAUAUGUUUACUCACU